AUUGAACGCUGGCGGCAUGCCUUACACAUGCAAGUCGAACGGCAGCACGGGAGCAAUCCUGGUGGCGAGUGGCGAACGGGUGAGUAAAGUAUCGGAACGUGCCCAGUCGUGGGGGAUAACGUAGCGAAAGUUACGCUAAUACCGCAUACGAUCUAUGGAUGAAAGCGGGGGAUCGCAAGACCUCGCGCGAUUGGAGCGGCCGAUAUCAGAUUAGGUAGUUGGUGGGGUAAAGGCUCACCAAGCCGACGAUCUGUAGCUAGUCUGAGAGGACGACCAGCCACACUGGGACUGAGACACGGCCCAGACUCCUACGGGAGGCAGCAGUGGGGAAUUUUGGACAAUGGGCGAAAGCCUGAUCCAGCCAUGCCGCGUGCAGGAUGAAGGCCUUCGGGCUGUAAACUGCUUUUGUACGGAACGAAAAGGUUUGGCCUAAUAAGCUGAGCUCAUGACGGUACCGUAAGAAUAAGCACCGGCUAACUACGUGCCAGCAGCCGCAGUAA
rnacentral:rRNA from 1 species